rnacentral:ncRNA from 1 species
GUUGCAGUAGUAAUCCUGCUCAGUACGAGAGGAACCGCAGGUCCAGAUAUUUGGUGCAUGUGCUUGGCUGAGGAGCCAAUGGUGCGAAGCUACCAUCUGUGGGAUUAUGACUGAACACCUCUAAAUCAUAAUCCUGCCUAAACGCUAU